UCGCCCACAAUGCCUUUCACGGGUUCAGCAAGGAUGCGGCCGGGUAGUUUCCUGAUCGGUCGAUGCAAACGUCGAAGCUCUUCAAAGGGGCAUCUCUGCUGGAGUCGUGAUCGGCUUAGAUCAUGCCGAUUAUCCGGUUCCUCCAAUGGUCUCCUCGCGCUAACCCCGUAGCGUGUGGUUUUUAGCGGGCUCCAGGCCCGCUUUUUUU
rnacentral:ncRNA from 22 species